CCCUUAGAUGUUCUGGGCCGCACGCGCGCUACACUGACGAAUGCAACGAGCUUAUAACCUUGGCCGAAAGGUCUGGGUAAUCUCCAAAUUUCGUCGUGAUGGGGAUAGAUUAUUGCAAUUAUUAAUCUUCAACGAGGAAUGCCUAGUAAGCGCAAGUCAUCAGCUUGCGCUGAUUACGUCCCUGCCCUUUGUACACACCGCCCGUCGCUCCUACCGAUUGAAUGGUCCGGUGAAGCGUUCGGACCGUGGCCUUUGGACGGUUCGCCGUCUGUUGGCUGCGGGAAGUUCGUUAAACCUUAUCAUUUAGAGGAAGGAGAANUCGUAACA
rnacentral:rRNA from 1 species